rnacentral:rRNA from 1 species
GAGCCGUCCCAGUGUUAUCCGGUGUGGAAGAAGCUCUGGUCUUCGCCCGCCCCAGCUAAGAUUAAGAUCCAUGCUUGGAAGGUCUUACACGGAUUCAUACCAUGUUAUGGGGUAUUGGCAAAUCGCCAUAUUGAUACGUCGGACAGCUGUCCUAUGUGUGUGGGUGGAUGCGAAGAUAUUAUGCACGCUCUCUUCACUUGCCCUAGGGCAGCCGAAGUCUGGAGAUGUCUGAAUCUUGACGGGUUCGUGGAGGAGGCGUGUGAUACAGACAGGACAGGCUCGGAAGCGUUGGGCUAUAUUUUAUGUGCUCCUACACGCCAGAGGUUGAUCCAAGAUAUCCCAGCUCAGUUUCUAAUCCUUGUGGGUAUCUGGUACAUAUGGUGGGAGCGUAGACAACAUGUCCACGGGGAUGAAGUGCAGACUCUGGUCCGAGCCGCGUUGUCAAUCGCGGCGCUGGCAGCAAAUUACCUCAAGGCUACGAAGAAGAACGCGGUAGUAAGAUCCUUUGGAUGGAGGAAACCGCAAGAGGAUUUUGUCAAGUUAAAUGUAGAUGCGGCUUUUCAUGCAGAUGACCUCCAGGGAGCUGUAGGAGCUGUGCUACGGGACUGCAGAGGUGGUUUCAUCGCAGCUUCAAAUGAGAGGCUGGAGCAUGUUGCUGAUGUAGGGACGGCGGAAGCACAUGCACUACGGCAUGGCAUCUUGCUAGCGCAGCGGAUGGGGAUCACGAAGCUCAUUGUGGAGUCCGACUGCCUUGAGGUGAUUGACACCAUGAACAAUGGUGGUUUUACGGCGUCUGGCGCAGUUGCGAUCUAUUCGGAUUGUUUGGUCCUUAUCGUAGGUUAUACUUCGGUGUUUUUUGCUCACUGCCCCAGGGAGACAAACUCUGUCAUUCAUGUUUUAGCUAGGCAAGCGGUGUCGGAUCCACCUUCCGUGUGGAUUGAGGAGCCGCCGGCCUUCAUUGUAAAGGGCUAG